rnacentral:rRNA from 1 species
GCAGUCGAGCGACUGAUUAGAAGCUUGCUUCUAUGACGUUAGCGGCGGACGGGUGAGUAACACGUGGGCAACCUGCCUGUAAGACUGGGAUAACUUCGGGAAACCGAAGCUAAUACCGGAUAGGAUCUUCUCCUUCAUGGGAGAUGAUUGAAAGAUGGUUUCGGCUAUCACUUACAGAUGGGCCCGCGGUGCAUUAGCUAGUUGGUGAGGUAACGGCUCACCAAGGCAACGAUGCAUAGCCGACCUGAGAGGGUGAUCGGCCACACUGGGACUGAGACACGGCCCAGACUCCUACGGGAGGCAGCAGUAGGGAAUCUUCCGCAAUGGACGAAAGUCUGACGGAGCAACGCCGCGUGAGUGAUGAAGGCUUUCGGGUCGUAAAACUCUGUUGUUAGGGAAGAACAAGUACGAGAGUAACUGCUCGUACCUUGACGGUACCUAACCAGAAAGCCACGGCUAACUACGUGCCAGCAGCCGCGGUAAUACGUAGGUGGCAAGCGUUAUCCGGAAUUAUUGGGCGUAAAGCGCGCGCAGGCGGUUUCUUAAGUCUGAUGUGAAAGCCCACGGCUCAACCGUGGAGGGUCAUUGGAAACUGGGGAACUUGAGUGCAGAAGAGAAAAGCGGAAUUCCACGUGUAGCGGUGAAAUGCGUAGAGAUGUGGAGGAACACCAGUGGCGAAGGCGGCUUUUUGGUCUGUAACUGACGCUGAGGCGCGAAAGCGUGGGGGAGCAAACAGGAUUAGAUACCCGGGUAGUCCACGCCGUAAAACGAUGAGUGCUAAGUGUUAGAGGGUUUCCGCCCUUUUAGUGCUGCAGCCUAACGCAUUUAAGCACUCCGCCUGGGGAGUACGGUUCCCAAGACUGAAAACUCAAAGGAAUUUGACGGGGGGCCCCGCACCAACCGGUGGAGCAUGUGGUUUUAUUCGAAAGCAACGCCGAAAAAACCUUACCAGGGUCUUGACAUUCCUCUGACAACUU